AGAGUUUGAUCCUGGCUCAGGACGAACGCUGGCGGCGUGCUUAACACAUGCAAGUCGAGCGGAAAGGCCCUUCGGGGUACUCGAGCGGCGAACGGGUGAGUAACACGUGAGUAACCUGCCCCAGACUUUGGGAUAACCCUCGGAAACGGGGGCUAAUACCGGAUACGACACUCCAUCGCAUGGUGUGGGUGUGGAAAGUUUUUCGGUUUGGGAUGGGCUCGCGGCCUAUCAGCUUGUUGGUGGGGUGAUGGCCUACCAAGGCGACGACGGGUAGCCGGCCUGAGAGGGCGACCGGCCACACUGGGACUGAGACACGGCCCAGACUCCUACGGGAGGCAGCAGUGGGGAAUAUUGCACAAUGGGCGGAAGCCUGAUGCAGCGACGCCGCGUGAGGGAUGACGGCCUUCGGGUUGUAAACCUCUUUCAGCAGGGAU
rnacentral:rRNA from 1 species